rnacentral:lncRNA from 1 species
ACUGCAGUCCCUUGAAGUGAAUGCAGUGCUCUCUGCCUCCAUCCCCUUAGCACUGUCUCCAUCUCCCCAUUCCCUUUCCCUGAUUCUACCCAGCCUGCUGUUUCCUGGUAAGUAAUGGCCAGUGAACCUGGGAGAUUCUUAUUCAGACCCUUUGGUGCUGUGGUUUGUGUUCUCUCCUGGUACAGGAUGCCUUGGAAUCUGGCUUUACUGCUGUUUGCAGAUCUUUGCUUUGGCUUUUCAAGAACUUCUUCCUGUAGAAAGAUUUCUUCCUUCUAACUUAUAAAUAUGCCAUGUUUAUCUUCUAUUAUCUUGGUAACCAGCAAGAAAGAAUACUACAUAAGGAAAGGGCUCAUAUGUCUGGGCAACUGUGCAGCAGAUUUGGGAGCCUAGUUCCUACUUGUGUGAGCUCCUUUCAUGCCUUUCGUUCAUCCCUUAGCUGAAGUUUGCACUUUCACCAGUCACUUGAAAAUAAUUUUGAUAAGGCUAUCUACUAGUUAGAAGUUAAUGGCAUUUGUAUUAGUUAGCUUUUUGUUGCUGUGAUAAAUACCACACCCAAAAGUAAUUUAGUAAAGAAAGGGUUCAUUUUGGCUUUUGGUUCUAGAGGUUUAGAGCACAUGAGUGGUGAGGAGGGCAUGUUAGUUAGCAAGUACAUAACAUUUUCAUCUGCAUACAUGGGAAGCAGAGAACAGGAAAUGUUGUAAAAUUUCAAAGCAUGCCCUUAGUGACAUAGUUCCUUUAUCAAAGGCUCCAGUUUCUAAAGGUUCUUUCACUGCCACCCCUAAACAGUACCACCAGCUUGCUAGCUAGAGCUAAGUGUCGAAGUACAUGAGCCUGUAGUGCAUCAGCUUGCAACCUGUAGGUUUCAACCUCUUUGGGGGUCUUUCACAGGACCCUUUUACAGGGGCAGCCUUAGACCGUGUGCAUAUCAGAUAUUUUACAUUACAGUUCUUAACAGUAGCAAAGUUACAGUUAGAAAAUAGCAACAAAGUAAAUUUUUGGUGGAAGGCCACCACAACACGAGGAACUGUAUCAUUGGGAAGGUGGAGAACCACUGCUCUAGGGGAACAUUUCUUAUUCAUUUGGCUACACUCUGCUCCGUAUUCUCCAUAGGCAUGGCCAUAUCAUGAUGCAGAUGGAUUUAGUCUAAUUUUAGAUGCCCUUGGAGUGUUUGACAAUUUCAACGCUGUUCAAAAGCCCAAAGUCUCUUCUGACACAAUGAUCUCUUAACUAUCAUU